UACGAGAGGCCCAAACGUUAUUCGGAAUUACUGGGCUUAAAGAGUUCGUAGGCGGCAUUGCAAGUAGGGUGUGAAAGCCCUCGGCUCAACCGAGGAAUUGCGCUCUAAACUGCAGUGCUUGAGGAACCUAGAGGUGAGCAGAACAGAUGGUGGAGCGGUGAAAUGCGUUGAUAUCAUCUGGAAUACCGGAGGCGAAGGCGAGUCUCUGGACAACUCCUGACACUGAGGCACGAAAGCUAGGGGAGCAAACAGG
rnacentral:rRNA from 1 species